rnacentral:rRNA from 1 species
AACGAACGCUGGCGGCAGGCUUAACACAUGCAAGUCGAACGAGAAGCCAGGGCUUGCCCUGGCGGAAAGUGGCAGACGGGUGAGUAACACGUGGGAAUCUGCCCAGUGGUACGGGAUAACUUCGGGAAACCGGAGCUAAUACCGUAUACGCCCUUCGGGGGAAAGAUUUAUCGCCAUUGGAUGAGCCCGCGUCGGAUUAGCUUGUUGGUAGGGUAAAAGCCUACCAAGGCUACGAUCCGUAGCUGGUCUGAGAGGAUGAUCAGCCACACUGGGACUGAGACACGGCCCAG